rnacentral:rRNA from 1 species
UACGAAGGGGGCGAGCGUUGUUCGGAUUUACUGGGCGUAAAGGGCGCGCAGGCGGCGCAUCAAGUCAGGCGUGAAAGCCCCGGGCUUAACCUGGGAACUGCGUCUGGGACUGGUGGGCUAGAGAUCGGGAGAGGAGAGUGGAAUUCCCAGUGUAGAGGUGAAAUUCGUAGAUAUUGGGAAGAACACCAGUGGCGAAGGCGGCUCUCUAGUACGUGACUGACGCUGAGACGCGAAAGCGUGGGGAGCGAACAGG